GGUUGGGGGAGGGGAGGAGGCUGACUUGCUUUUUCUUUGCUGGAUAUCUGGGAACCGAGCCCAUCCGCACUUUCUCCAUGAAACUUGAAGGGCAAUGUAUCAUUGUGGGAGAGAUACUGCAGUUUUUCCAAACAGAAACCUAGCCCUUCUUAGGGUCGUCUUCAUUUACAAGAAACACCCUGCCAUGAGAUCAACUCAGCAGACCAAGGGAAGGCUGGAGAUCGUGGUGGCCAAGGGAUGUUCAGACACACCUACCUACAGCACAAUCAGCCCCUUUAUUGUACGGAAGAAGAGGCAGCAAACCAGCCAGAAGAAAGCCACUUUGUUUAACAUUCCAAAGGCGUUCCCAGUGUCUCCCAGAGUCCUCAUUAAUUACCUGGAGAAUUACCAAUGCGUUCUGGGAUCCCAUGAGAGACUCCUUCCACUGCAAUUCGCCAACCCUUGUGACACUGGGAUGAUGAAAUAGGCGCACUUGAUGAGGAGAGAAGAGGAAACGGAGUCCGGGCACAGAGUCAGAAGGCCUUGGCUUGGGAGAUUUCUGAAUCACGGACACGGCCUGCCCUCUCACAAGUAGAGGCAAAAGAUGUCAGGGUUGUUGGCAGAUGCGGGCACGGAGCUUUGGGGUGGCAAUAAUAACGAUUUUCAGGGCACGGGCAGUUAGGCGAGGGAGGGCUGUUAGGUGAGUGGAGGAGUGAGGGUCCUGGACCAGGCAGGGCCGAGCACGGGCCAGGGAAGGAGGACUGUGAGUACCGGCUGUUUCUUUAGAUUUGGAACCAGAAAGUGCUGGCAUUAAAGCUAGAACAACAGAAUCACAGGAAAGGAUCUUAGAGGUUACAUAAUGCUGGCAUUUUAAAACCAGGUUCCCUGGCGUUCUAAAGAUUCUAUGUGAAGGCGUUUCGGGGACUGCUGUUCAGUGUUUGGUAAAAGGGGAUGGGGGGCUGGUCCUUCAUCCCCAUUUUAACAUCAGUUUGUAUCUAUUUUAGACAUUGGGAUUCUGAAUAUGAUUUAUUUCUGGAAAGGCUUUUGUACUUAAAAAUUACUGUUCCUUUCCAACCUCUUCAUUUGACAGCUCAGAAAAGGAAGCUGACUUUGUAGAGACGUACAGCCAGCAUGUGACAUCACACUGUGAUGUUCACCCCCCUGGGUGUGGUGGCAUCAUGGUACUAUAGAUCAAACAGGCCCGGAAACGCCAGGCUACAUUCUUUUCCCUCAGAGUGGCCCAUUUAUUUUGCUCCUAUUCUCCAGUUCUAACCCCACCAAAACCCAAACCAGUGCUCAGAUUUAUAAUAUUCCAUGUACACCAUGGUCUGGAAAGAGGACUGGCCCAAAAGUGUGGUGAACAAGGUUGCCUGUGUGGUGUGACGUGUGUAGGCCUCAGCCAACCCCCAAUAACUUCCCAUCUAACUAGAAUUCCCACCACCGGUUAGGCCAGCAGUUUUCAAGUAAACUCAGGUGCCAGUGUGCCUGUGGAACACCACGAAUUGUUGACUGACUGAAUUCCAUCCUACAAAUGAGCAGCGACUUUACCAGCAGGAAAGCUAGCUGUGUUAGAAGCACACAGUACAACAUCGUGGUCACACACGCUGCGUGAGUCAUUAAGACUGGUCCCACAUGUUCUGGUUCUCCGUCUAGGCACACAGUGGGCUUGUACUUCUCCAUUGCCUUUCACAGCCAUGGCCAUAUGACAUGUUUUGGCCGAAUAAAUGUGCGUGGAAGCUUUUGAAGUCA
rnacentral:lncRNA from 1 species